GACGAACGCUGGCGGCGUGCUUAACACAUGCAAGUCGAACGGAAAGGCCCUGCUUUUGUGGGGUGCUCGAGUGGCGAACGGGUGAGUAACACGUGAGUAACCUGCCCUUGACUUUGGGAUAACUUCAGGAAACUGGGGCUAAUACCGGAUAGGAGCUCCUGCUGCCUGGUGGGGGUUGGAAAGUUUCGGCGGUUGGGGAUGGACUCGCGGCUUGUCAGCUUGUUGGUGGGGUAGUGGCUUACCAAGGCUUUGACGGGUAGCCGGCCUGAGAGGGUGACCGGCCACAUUGGGACUGAGAUACGGCCCAGACUCCUACGGGAGGCAGCAGUGGGGAAUAUUGCACAAUGGGCGGAAGCCUGAUGCAGCAACGCCGCGUGCUGGAUGACGGCCUUCGGGUUGUAAACCGCUUUCGCCUGUGACGAAGCGUGAGUGACGGUAAUGGGUAAAGAAGCACCGGCUAACUACGUG
rnacentral:rRNA from 1 species